UCGAAUUCAUCUACAUUUUCAGUUGAUUUAUUUGUCCUCAAAUACCAAAGAGAGCAAUAAAUCGGUAAAAAAUUCAAUGUAGGUCCAUAUUUGUUGCAAUCUCACAUCAAUGGAUAUUGAUAGAAAAUGUAUGAGAAUUUUCUCAAAAGAAAUUAGUGAAAUUGUUAGAAGAUAUUGAGGUUGAAAAUAGAGAAGUCAUUAGUGAAAAUUAAUGAUAAUCAAGCAAGAAAUGAGAAAACACUAAUGGAGGUGGAAGGUAG
rnacentral:lncRNA from 1 species